UUAUCUGGGUUGAGGACAGUGCCUGGUGGGUAGUUUGACUGGGGCGGUCUCCUCCCAAAGAGUAACGGAGGAGCACGAAGGUGGGCUAAUCACGGUUGGACAUCGUGAGGUUAGUGCAAUGGCAUAAGCCCGCUUAACUGCGAGAAUGACGGUUCGAGCAGGUGCGAAAGCAGGUCAUAGUGAUCCGGUGGUUCUGUAUGGAAGGGCCAUCGCUCAACGGAUAAAAGGUACUCCGGGGAUAACAGGCUGAUACCGCCCAAGAGUUCAUAUCGACGGCGGUGUUUGGCACCUCGAUGUCGGCUCAUCACAUCCUGGGGCUGAAGUCGGUCCCAAGGGUAUGGCUGUUCGCCAUUUAAAGUGGUACGCGAGCUGGGUUUAGAACGUCGUGAGACAGUUCGGUCCCUAUCUGCCGUGGGCGUUGGAAGAUUGAAGGGGGCUGCUCCUAGUACGAGAGGACCGGAGUGGACGAACCUCUGGUGUUCGGGUUGUGUCGCCAGACGCAUUGCCCGGUAGCUAAGUUCGGAAUUGAUAAGCGCUGAAAGCAUCUAAGCGCGAAGCGAGCCCUGAGAUGAGUCUUCCCUGACAGUUUAACUGUCCUAAAGGGUUGUUCGAGACUAGAACGUUGAUAGGCAGGGUGUGUAAGCGUUGUGAGGCGUUGAGCUAACCUGUACUAAUUGCCCGUGAGGCUUAACCAU
rnacentral:rRNA from 2 species